rnacentral:tRNA from 1 species
ACUUUUCUAGUACAAUUAGUAUAUCUGACUUCCAAUCAGAAGAUCCACACGUGGGCGAAGUA